UACGUAGGGGGCAAGCGUUGUCCGGAUUUAUUGGGCGUAAAGAGCGUGUAGGCGGCUAGGUAGGUCCGUUGUGAAAACUCGAGCUCAACCUCGAGACGCCGGUGGAAACCAUCUAGCUAGAGUCCGGAAGAGGAGAGUGGGAAUUCCUGGUGUGAGCGGUGAAAUGCGCAGAUAUCAGGAAGAACACCCGUGGCGAAGGCGGCUCUCUGGUACGUGACUGACGCUGAGACGCGAAAGCGUGGGGAGCGAACAGG
rnacentral:rRNA from 1 species